AGUAAUGUAUGGGGAUCUGCCCGAUAGAGGGGGAUAACUACUGGAAACGGUGGCUAAUACCGCAUAAUGUCUAUGGACCAAAGCAGGGGCUCUUCGGACCUUGCACUAUCGGAUGAACCCAUAUGGGAUUAGCUAGUAGGUGGGGUAAAGGCUCACCUAGGCGACGAUCUUUAGCCGGUCUGAGAGGAUGAUCAGCCACACUGGGACUGAGACACGGCCCAG
rnacentral:rRNA from 1 species